UGCAAAUUAAAAAGAUGUGCAAACCUUCUGUUUUUAUGUUGCUUUUGAGCUCUGUUUCUAGCAUUUCACUUUUCUUUGUAAGUGAAAUGUAUAUCUAGUAAGUUGAAUCGAGUCAAACAUCAAAAUGGUGGUCUUGUUAUCUGCUACCUAAGUUUUGUUUCUUACUUGCAUAUUUGGUUUGAUUGACUGAAUUAUGUUCGGAUGUAUAAGGGAUUAAUUACACUAUAUAACAGCAAAAUAUGUGAAUUAUAUUGCUGUGUAGAAAGUUUGAGUAGAUAGGGAACAUUAUAUAAGAUCUUUAAUUAUACGCCGCAUGAACAUAUUA
rnacentral:lncRNA from 1 species